rnacentral:rRNA from 1 species
GACGAACGCUGGCGGCGUGCCUAAUACAUGCAAGUUGAGCGCUGAAGGUUGGUACUUGUACCAACUGGAUGAGCAGCGAACGGGUGAGUAACGCGUGGGGAAUCUGCCUUUGAGCGGGGGACAACAUUUGGAAACGAAUGCUAAUACCGCAUAAAAACUUUAAACACAAGUUUUAAGUUUGAAAGAUGCAAUUGCAUCACUCAAAGAUGAUCCCGCGUUGUAUUAGCUAGUUGGUGAGGUAAAGGCUCACCAAGGCGAUGAUACAUAGCCGACCUGAGAGGGUGAUCGGCCACAUUGGGACUGAGACACGGCCCAAACUCCUACGGGAGGCAGCAGUAGGGAAUCUUCGGCAAUGGACGAAAGUCUGACCGAGCAACGCCGCGUGAGUGAAGAAGGGUUUCGGAUCGGAAAACUCUGUUGGUAGAGAAGAACGUUGGUGAGAGUGGAAAGCUCAUCAAGUGACGGUAACUACACAGAAAGGGACGGCUAACUACGUG